AGGGUUUGGCCUAGAGAGAGAGAGGAGAGCUGGCUGCAGGCUUUGAGGAGAAAUGGGAAUAUGUGGGUGAGAGUACAAGGGGGGAGAGAGUCCUUGGUGUGGUUGUAGAGAGAGAGGGCCUCUGUGUAGGAGCCAUUGGAAACCAGGUUCCUUAAGGUGUUGUGAGUGGGGGUGAGAGGAAGAGAGAGAAAGAGAGGCUUGGUCAUGUG
rnacentral:lncRNA from 1 species